CAUGACAAAAGUAACUUUUGUCCACUGAAAGAUAAUUUUGUAUGACAAAAUUUUAAAUUUGUAGUAUGCUACAAAUUUUGUUGAACUGAACUCAUUUUUGUUGAACAAAAGUCACUUUUGUCCGUACAGAAUUGAAGUUCGAGUACAAAACCACAAGAGUCCCAUUCGGCGCCUGUAGUAGCUCCCUAUACGACAAUACACCAUGAACGCUUGCACGAUGAUGGAGAUCUCAAAAUCGGACAGUACCUUGCAUCCUUUACAAGAUUUGAUUUUUUUAUUGCUCAUGUAGUUUCGGAGCACAUUUUAUAGAGUACGGUGUACCUGUACCUGUCGAAUUGUUGUGAGGUAUCGAAUGAGAUCCGUUGGAGGACUCAAAAGAAUGUAGAACUGUUGUAAAUUGUUACGAACUGAACCAUGCGAUGUAUCUGUUUGCAAAGAGAUAAACUAGUACCAAUCGGCUUAAUAUAUUUAUCCCAACCUGUUGAUAUCGAAGAAAAUAUGAUAAGGCGAUGUGGUCAACAGACUACUAGAUCCAACCACCUUGUUAACACGCCAAACAAUAUUGGAAAGUCUCAUUAUAUUUUGCGUUCAUAGACCACAUGAAGAUGGAACUGGAGUCGCGUCUGAUAUCACCAGAAAAUCGCUUUUUCGUGCAGUAUCUGCUUCCUCUUGUUGUUAGGAAUAUAACAAAGAACAAAGCGCAUUAUUGUUUGAGACAUACGAAACUGACUUGGAGUCGGUUUCACAAAAAAAACUUAUGAUUAUGAUUGAUCGUAAGCCAUGAACAAUUCAGUAUACUUAGGAUAAAUCUCAGUCGUAAGUUUUUUUGUGAAACCGAUUCCAGGUAUGUAAUUUAGACGAAGUUGAUCGAGAGGUCGCUCGAUGGCGAAAACACUGAUUUGUAACACCUCGAGAUCAGAUGCCAACUUCGCAGGCUGUGUGAGACACUCGAUGCGGUAAGUGCAGUGCUGUAUAUCCUUCUAUAGAUACUAUAUUGAGUAGUAUGUUGACAAUGCCGGUUACAAGUGCUACUGCUGAGAGAUCGUUUGUACUACGUCGGUUGAAAACAUGAUAUAUAAGAUCAACCAUGAAUAACGAUAGGUUAUCAUCGCUAGCAUUAAUGCGCAUUCAUCAAGAUUCCAGUAUGAAAAAUUGACAAACUAAUGGGGAAGUUCGUUUCUGCUAAGACCAGAAGA
rnacentral:lncRNA from 1 species